ACGCAUCUGAAACAGUGUGUGCUUCCCCUGCACUUCUGUCUCCCAAUGCUUCCCAACAUGGUAACGAAGAAAGCAGCCACGCAUCUGAAACAGUGCGUGCUUCCCCUGGAUUUCUGUCUCCCGAUCUCGACACGACCCCUCCAAACACCCUGGAGUGCAUGAACUGUGGAUGCAAGCAGCUCAAAAGCACAUGUUCAACCGAAGAGAAAGGCACACAGUAUUCUCCACCGAAGGAGUCAAGAUGGACCCAAACAGUACUUACGAAGACUAGAACAACUGGCACACAAGCAAAUCGUAAUGUUGCGGCGCUGCAGACAUCAUGUACUCAGACAAGUGAAGAGCUUUGUCAAACUCAGCUACAGGACAGUGGGCUUCCUUGGCAGUCAAUGCAAACAUCGUGUAACCGGACAAGUGAGGAGCCCCAUCAAGCUAACCAACAAGACACCGCAGUGCAAUGGGAACCAAAGCGUUGUUCCACACCAGUUAUGGACGUGACAGAGAGCAGUAUCGGUGACACCGAAAACCCAGCAGACACUACAUAUGUACC